rnacentral:rRNA from 1 species
GGGUUGUGAGGUUAAGCGACUAAGCGUACACGGUGGAUGCCCUGGCAGUCAGAGGCGAUGAAGGACGUGCUAAUCUGCGAUAAGCGUCGGUAAGGUGAUAUGAACCGUUAUAACCGGCGAUUUCCGAAUGGGGAAACCCAGUGUGAUUCGUCACACUAUCAUUAACUGAAUCCAUAGGUUAAUGAGGCGAACCGGGGGAACUGAAACAUCUAAGUACCCCGAGGAAAAGAAAUCAACCGAGAUUCCCCCAGUAGCGGCGAGCGAACGGGGAGCAGCCCAGAGCCUGAAUCAGUGUGUGUGUUAGUGGAAGCGUCUGGAAAGGCGUGCGAUACAGGGUGACAGCCCCGUACACAAAAAUGCACAUACUGUGAGCUCGAUGAGUAGGGCGGGACACGUGGUAUCCUGUCUGAAUAUGGGGGGACCAUCCUCCAAGGCUAAAUACUCCUGACUGACCGAUAGUGAACCAGUACCGUGAGGGAAAGGCGAAAAGAACCCCGGCGAGGGGAGUGAAAAAGAACCUGAAACCGUGUACGUACAAGCAGUGGGAGCACGCUUAGGCGUGUGACUGCGUACCUUUUGUAUAAUGGGUCAGCGACUUAUAUUCUGUAGCAAGGUUAACCGAAUAGGGGAGCCGAAGGGAAACCGAGUCUUAACUGGGCGUUAAGUUGCAGGGUAUAGACCCGAAACCCGGUGAUCUAGCCAUGGGCAGGUUGAAGGUUGGGUAACACUAACUGGAGGACCGAACCGACUAAUGUUGAAAAAUUAGCGGAUGACUUGUGGCUGGGGGUGAAAGGCCAAUCAAACCGGGAGAUAGCUGGUUCUCCCCGAAAGCUAUUUAGGUAGCGCCUCGUGAAUUCAUCUCCGGGGGUAGAGCACUGUUUCGGCAAGGGGGUCAUCCCGACUUACCAACCCGAUGCAAACUGCGAAUACCGGAGAAUGUUAUCACGGGAGACACACGGCGGGUGCUAACGUCCGUCGUGAAGAGGGAAACAACCCAGACCGCCAGCUAAGGUCCCAAAGUCAUGGUUAAGUGGGAAACGAUGUGGGAAGGCCCAGACAGCCAGGAUGUUGGCUUAGAAGCAGCCAUCAUUUAAAGAAAGCGUAAUAGCUCACUGGUCGAGUCGGCCUGCGCGGAAGAUGUAACGGGGCUAAACCAUGCACCGAAGCUGCGGCAGCGACGCUUAUGCGUUGUUGGGUAGGGGAGCGUUCUGUAAGCCUGUGAAGGUGUGCUGUGAGGUAUGCUGGAGGUAUCAGAAGUGCGAAUGCUGACAUAAGUAACGAUAAAGCGGGUGAAAAGCCCGCUCGCCGGAAGACCAAGGGUUCCUGUCCAACGUUAAUCGGGGCAGGGUGAGUCGACCCCUAAGGCGAGGCCGAAAGGCGUAGUCGAUGGGAAACAGGUUAAUAUUCCUGUACUUGGUGUUACUGCGAAGGGGGGACGGAGAAGGCUAUGUUGGCCGGGCGACGGUUGUCCCGGUUUAAGCGUGUAGGCUGGUUUUCCAGGCAAAUCCGGAAAAUCAAGGCCGAGGCGUGAUGACGAGGCACUACGGUGCUGAAGCAACAAAUGCCCUGCUUCCAGGAAAAGCCUCUAAGCAUCAGGUAACAUCAAAUCGUACCCCAAACCGACACAGGUGGUCAGGUAGAGAAUACCAAGGCGCUUGAGAGAACUCGGGUGAAGGAACUAGGCAAAAUGGUGCCGUAACUUCGGGAGAAGGCACGCUGAUACGUAGGUGAAGCGACUUGCUCGUGGAGCUGAAAUCAGUCGAAGAUACCAGCUGGCUGCAACUGUUUAUUAAAAACACAGCACUGUGCAAACACGAAAGUGGACGUAUACGGUGUGACGCCUGCCCGGUGCCGGAAGGUUAAUUGAUGGGGUUAGCGCAAGCGAAGCUCUUGAUCGAAGCCCCGGUAAACGGCGGCCGUAACUAUAACGGUCCUAAGGUAGCGAAAUUCCUUGUCGGGUAAGUUCCGACCUGCACGAAUGGCGUAAUGAUGGCCAGGCUGUCUCCACCCGAGACUCAGUGAAAUUGAACUCGCUGUGAAGAUGCAGUGUACCCGCGGCAAGACGGAAAGACCCCGUGAACCUUUACUAUAGCUUGACACUGAACAUUGAGCCUUGAUGUGUAGGAUAGGUGGGAGGCUUUGAAGUGUGGACGCCAGUCUGCAUGGAGCCGACCUUGAAAUACCACCCUUUAAUGUUUGAUGUUCUAACGUGGACCCGUGAUCCGGGUUGCGGACAGUGUCUGGUGGGUAGUUUGACUGGGGCGGUCUCCUCCUAAAGAGUAACGGAGGAGCACGAAGGUUGGCUAAUCCUGGUCGGACAUCAGGAGGUUAGUGCAAUGGCAUAAGCCAGCUUGACUGCGAGCGUGACGGCGCGAGCAGGUGCGAAAGCAGGUCAUAGUGAUCC